UACAGAGGUGGCAAGCGUUGUUCGGAAUUACUGGGCGUAAAGGGCGCGUAGGCGGCCAACUAAGUCAGACGUGAAAUCCCUCGGCUUAACCGGGGAACUGCCUCUGAUACUGGAUGGCUUGAGAUUGGGAGAGGGAUGCGGAAUUCCAGGUGUAGCGGUGAAAUGCGUAGAUAUCUGGAGGAACACCGGUGGCGAAGGCGGCAUCCUGGACCAACACUGACGCUGAGGAGCGAAAGCCAGGGGAGCAAACGGG
rnacentral:rRNA from 1 species